UUCACGUGGUGUCUAUUGUUAAAAAUGGUUAUAAAAUAAUUUCAUUAGUAUAAUUUAUCAUUGUAAUCAUUCACUAAAAGCCAAGAAAAAACUUUAUGAAAUAAAGCAUCAUUAAAAUAAUCAAACAUUAUUUAGUGUUAAUAACAUUUUUUUUGGUUUUUAGUUUGAAACAGCCUAACUUUUUGUUAACCAAACUAGUAUCAAGCACUAUAUGAAAGAUUUGAAGAUUUAUAAAGGGUGGUUAAAACAUGGUCAACACAUUUAACAUGAGUUUUACACUUACCUUCAAUGUUUGGUGGUUGUCCAGUAUUAAUUUAUAGAACCUUUUUUAUACAGAAAAAAACUUUGUUUUGGGACUUUAGGAAAUAGUAGUUGUGUCAUUUUAAUUUUUUUUAAUUUUUUUUUUUAGGUUGGGGAGGGGGGUUAUUCUUCCCUCCCAUACAUCGAUGUAAACACGACUUAAAUUCGUAAUAGUAACACCACGUAAAUUCUUGUAGAACAUAAUUUUAUAUUGUAUACUAAUUGAAUUUUAGUAAAGAUAAAAAUAUUUAUGAAAA
rnacentral:lncRNA from 1 species